CAAUGAAGCAGAAGGGAGGCAGAUUCCGAGAGCCCCGAAGGGCGGGGUGAGGAUUCUUUUACUGCGUAGGGGUAGGAGGGUUUAGCAUUCGAGGGUACAAUCGGGAUGUGAUAAACUGUGGUAACUUGUUUGUUCAUCAAAGGAAUUGGAAUAUUAAAGGAGGAAAAAUAAAAUUAAAGUAUGAGGGACUAGCUUGCUUGUUAGGAGAUAGGGGAAGCAUCUGUGAAGUUGGGAAACAGCAACUUGUGGGUUUUACUAAAAAAGGACAAUAAAGAAGCAACUGCUACAAACCGCAAGGCUAUAGGCAUAUUGCAAGGCUAUAGACAUAUUGCAAAACGCAAGACCGCAAGUAUGAUUAAUCACCAUUUAGGGAGCUUUUCUUAGCUUCUCUUGCAGACACAGGCUAAGGAUGUUGGGGGAUGGCCGGAGCUGAUUAUGAAAUCAGCGACCACCAGGCAACAGCCACCGGACUAGACAACGUAGGAGUGCUCCGGGUACGCCCAUCACUGUCCGGAACCGAUUGUGAAACCAACGAUCACCUGCCUCGACACAACGCAGACACGAUGCAGAGGGAUGCUCAAGCUACGCCCACCGCUAUCACAAGAGACGCGAAUGAAGAAACCUCCAAGAAACUAUAAAAGAGACUGAAUAAUGGGGGGUGGGGUGUGGGGCACUGCAGUGUGGGACACUGCAGGAGGGGCGGUUAGGAGACCCCUACCCACCCAGCGCUGUUUUGCUUGCUACUGCUUGCUGUAAUUAAUAAAAUUCCAAUUGACCUUCAAAAGGCUGAAUCAAAUUAUUUGCCUCAAUUUAUCACAGGGAGAAGGCUAAAGGGAGGGGAAAUAUAACAUUAACCAGUGGGGAAAAGGGAAAGGAGUGUUCUUGGUGGAAGAACUAAAGGGAAAACGUGGAACAGAGAAGAUUCUAGGCUAAGGGGCAGACUUGAACAAUAACUGACAAGACAGGGGGAGGGUACAAUUCUCUUACAAAAGGGGGUGGAGAACUCAUACAACUGCUGUUUCCCAUGGCAACCCUAGACUGCCUUCCCCAACCCCUCCUCCUACACCAGUGACAGCUUUUCACACUGAAGGGCAGUGCUAUUGUAUAACAAACACUUAACUCUUAGCCCAGCCGGGCUCGCUGGCUACUUUUGCAAGCUUUUUACCAACUAGCGAUGCUUGUAAGCGGUGCUUGUAACUCCUAGCUUGUACCACGCUCCCACUAGCUGCGCUAUCAGCUAGCGGCGUUCAAAGCAGCUCCUCAAACCGCGGCUUGUGCCCGCGCGCCCGCUGCGCUAUCAGCUGGGCUGCGCCUAAAGCACCUUUGCAAGCCCCGACUUAAGCCCCGCGCCGCGCUCCCCUCGCUCGCCAGGGACAGCCCGUGCCACGCAUGCGCACCACCCGCUCUAUCAGGUAGAGUGCGCACUACCCGCACUAUCAGGUAGUGUGGCUGAGAGCUGCCCUGCGCAUGCGCCCCACCCGCUCGAUCAGGUAGAGUGGCUGCUAGCCGCCCCGAGCAUGCGCACUACCCGCACUAGCAGGUAGUGUGGGCUGAGAGCUGCCCUGCGCAUGCGCUCUCUAGCACUGCCGCGCCGCCUCUCUCUAUCUUAGCAACGCCGCACCGCGCAUCACCGUUCCACUCACACAUGCACACACACGCACAAGCACGCACGUCCGGACGUAACAGACACACUACACUGCAAUCGGGACACACACCACACACUGAAAUCGCGAUUUCGCCCUCCCCGAGCCGCGCUAUCAGCUGGGGAGGUCCUCCCGCCGCCGGCCUCUCCCCCGAUGGCGGUCUGCUUGCAAGCCCCUAGGCAAACCUGCGCGCAAAAACAUCUUUUUGCGACUUAUCAGUGCCAACCUUAAGAAAAUAAAUUAAUACAUACCGCUUUCAUCCGCUAGUCGACGGGCCGUGGCAUGCUCCCCGCAGUGUACAGCCGAGGCGCAGAGUCCCUCCGGGGAAAAGCCCCGUGGCGCCUGAGGGUGUCUGCUCCCAAUCGGACCUGCGGGUGAGCAGAGCAGUCCCUUCGUGGUCGCCAACUGAAACGAUACGCGGAAUAAAUCAAUAGACUCCAUAACCUGGGGUAGUUAUGAAGUGGGUAUGUACGUCAGCGCCCGGCACAAGUGAGAUAGCUCUCCAAAACUUGUGCCCCGAGCCUCAGUCUGACCCACACUUUUAUUCUUAAAGACGUUCCAUAUGCAAUACACUGCACGACUUUUUCAUGCGUAUUCAACCCCUGGCCCCGCCUGUCCUCGCGUCUCAUGCUAAAGCUGUCACAGAGCAGAAGAGCAGCUGAGAUGCUGAAAAGCAGCAAAGCUGAACAGCCUGCCUCAGCUUCAGCAGUGUGCAAUUGACUGAAGGCAAAACACGAAGCAGCAGAGCAGCGGGCUUCUCUGCCACCGUGUUCUCUGCAUCUCGGAGCCUCUGGGGAGCAACAAGAAUUUCCAAGGUGGUGUAAGAGCCCGUCUGAAGCCCCUCAUUUU